rnacentral:rRNA from 1 species
GGUUAAGCGACUAAGCGUACACGGUGGAUGCCCUGGCAGUCAGAGGCGAUGAAGGACGUGCUAAUCUGCGAUAAGCGUCGGUGAGGUGAUAUGAACCGUUAUAACCGGCGAUUUCCGAAUGGGGAAACCCAGUGUGUUUCGACACACUAUCAUUAACUGAAUCCAUAGGUUAAUGAGGCGAACCGGGGGAACUGAAACAUCUAAGUACCCCGAGGAAAAGAAAUCAACCGAGAUUCCCCCAGUAGCGGCGAGCGAACGGGGAGGAGCCCAGAGCCUGAAUCAGUGUGUGUGUUAGUGGAAGCGUCUGGAAAGGCGCGCGAUACAGGGUGACAGCCCCGUACACAAAAAUGCACAUAUUGUGAGCUCGAUGAGUAGGGCGGGACACGUGGUAUCCUGUCUGAAUAUGGGGGGACCAUCCUCCAAGGCUAAAUACUCCUGACUGACCGAUAGUGAACCAGUACCGUGAGGGAAAGGCGAAAAGAACCCCGGCGAGGGGAGUGAAAAAGAACCUGAAACCGUGUACGUACAAGCAGUGGGAGCCUCUUAAUGGGGUGACUGCGUACCUUUUGUAUAAUGGGUCAGCGACUUAUAUUCUGUAGCAAGGUUAACCGAAUAGGGGAGCCGAAGGGAAACCGAGUCUUAACUGGGCGUUAAGUUGCAGGGUAUAGACCCGAAACCCGGUGAUCUAGCCAUGGGCAGGUUGAAGGUUGGGUAACACUAACUGGAGGACCGAACCGACUAAUGUUGAAAAAUUAGCGGAUGACUUGUGGCUGGGGGUGAAAGGCCAAUCAAACCGGGAGAUAGCUGGUUCUCCCCGAAAGCUAUUUAGGUAGCGCCUCGUGAAUUCAUCUCCGGGGGUAGAGCACUGUUUCGGCAAGGGGGUCAUCCCGACUUACCAACCCGAUGCAAACUGCGAAUACCGGAGAAUGUUAUCACGGGAGACACACGGCGGGUGCUAACGUCCGUCGUGAAGAGGGAAACAACCCAGACCGCCAGCUAAGGUCCCAAAGUCAUGGUUAAGUGGGAAACGAUGUGGGAAGGCCCAGACAGCCAGGAUGUUGGCUUAGAAGCAGCCAUCAUUUAAAGAAAGCGUAAUAGCUCACUGGUCGAGUCGGCCUGCGCGGAAGAUGUAACGGGGCUAAACCAUGCACCGAAGCUGCGGCAGCGACGCUUAUGCGUUGUUGGGUAGGGGAGCGUUCUGUAAGCCUGUGAAGGUGUGCUGUGAGGCAUGCUGGAGGUAUCAGAAGUGCGAAUGCUGACAUAAGUAACGAUAAAGCGGGUGAAAAGCCCGCUCGCCGGAAGACCAAGGGUUCCUGUCCAACGUUAAUCGGGGCAGGGUGAGUCGACCCCUAAGGCGAGGCCGAAAGGCGUAGUCGAUGGGAAACAGGUUAAUAUUCCUGUACUUGGUG